AAGGCACACACAACCCAAGGAUUAUUAUUUUACCAUGUAGUAAUCUUGUCUUGUGUGCCCAAAGUAAGGUUGUACCUUGUCGCCUUUCAAGAGCGAAUGUGCUCAUGAAAGUGAAAUUGAAGGUCCUAUAUAU